rnacentral:lncRNA from 1 species
CUCCCGUGUUAACGCUAAGCGUGCUCGCGACUGUACCCUUGUGCUCUGUUCGUCGGGGCCGGCCGUCGAUUUCGCGAAAUCUGUCAGUCGUCUCAUAACAGAAUGGUGGCUGCGCUGUCGGCAAAAAGGAACGCACGUCGACGGCUGCCUUGGUGGGGCCCGGCUUGGCAGUGAAAACAUCAACGAUGCCUGCAUACCCUGGGUCACGCGGGCCUACUAGGGUACCUACCGGCUGUGUAGUAGAGCACCUCGUUGAGGGUGCGUAGGCCCGUAGUCCAUUGACUGGGGCUGACGUACACCACCAAAAGGCGCUGGGUGUGGAACGGGGCCCAGCAGACGAAGAACGCGAUGACCACCGCCACUGUGCAAAACAAAGGGUGGCAACAUCAGACAAUUUUGGUUGGAAAUGAAGCUUGUAUCAUCCAUCGUCACGUUUUCCUUACGACAGGGCCGCCUCCGAACCACUCAAACCACCGAACAUGUAAUUUACAUCUGGGCUCGCCUUCACCGCGCAGGGACGGUUGAUUGGCACCCCAUUAGAACGGAUGCUCUGACGAUGCGCCGCUUCCUGCGUAGACACCCCU